CUAGCGACUUCAGAGUUUGAUCCUGGCUCGAGGACGAACGCUGGCGGCGUGCCUAACACAUGCAAGUCGAACGGAGUUAUCCUUCGGGGUAACUUAGUGGCGGACGGGUGAGUAACGCGUGAGGAAUCUGCCUUUCAGUGGGGGACAACAGUUGGAAACGACUGCUAAUACCGCAUAAUGUUAUUUGGGGGCAUCCCCGAAUAACCAAAGAUUUAUUGCUGAAAGAUGACCUCGCGUCUGAUUAGAUAGUUGGUGAGGUAACGGCUCACCAAGUCGACGAUCAGUAGCCGGACUGAGAGGUUGAACGGCCACAUUGGGACUGAGAUACGGCCCAG
rnacentral:rRNA from 1 species